rnacentral:rRNA from 1 species
GACGAACGCUGGCGGCGUGCUUAACACAUGCAAGUCGAACGGGUCUGCCCUGUUUUUUGCGGGGUGGGUCAGUGGCGAACGGGUGAGUAACACGUGAGUAACCUGCCCCUCACUUCUGGAUAACCGCUUGAAAGGGUGGCUAAUACGGGGUGUUCUGGCUGUGCCGCAUGGUGUGGCUGGGAAAGAUUCACUUUUGUGGUGUUUUGGUGGGGGAUGGGCUCGCGGCCUAUCAGCUUGUUGGUGGGGUGAUGGCCUGCCAAGGCUUUGACGGGUAGCCGGCCUGGGAGGGUGGGCGGUCACACGGGGACUGAGAUACGGCCCAGACUCCUGCGGGAGGCAGCAGUGGGGGGUAUUGCACAAUGGGCGGAAGCCUGAUGCAGCGACGUCGCGUGAGGGAUGGAGGCCUUCGGGUUGUGAACCUCUUUCGCCGGUGAAGAAGGUCCUGCUCUUUGUGGUGGGGUUGACGGUAGCCGGGUUAUGAAGCGCCGGCUAACUACGUG